CUAACACCCUCAUGUAAAUACUGACGGCAGUACUUUAGAGAUCUCCUAAUACCCUCAUGUAAAUACUGAUGGCAGUACUUUAGAGAUCUAAUACCCUCAUGUAAAUACUGAAAUUCAACGGCAUACACUUACAUUUCUGUCUUAAUAUAUUGACUUGAAGUACAGUUUAUAUUGGGGGAUGGAUGGGGCUGAGGGACAGGUUUCUACAGUGGAGGAUGGAUGGAUGGGGCUGAGGGACAGGUUUCUACAGUGGAGGAUGGAUGGAUGGGGCUGAGGGACAGGUUUCUACAGUGGAGGAUGGAUGGAUGGGGCUGAGGGACAGGUUUCUACAGUGGAGGAUGGAUGGAUGGGGCUGAGGGACAGGUUUCUACAGUGGAGGAUGGAUGGGGCUGAGGGACAGGUUUCUACAGUGGAGGAUGGAUGGGGCUGAGGGACAGGUUUCUACAGUAGAGGAUGGAUGGGGCAGAGGGACAGGUUUCUACAGUAGAGGAUGGAUGGGGCAGAGGGACAGGUUUCUACAGUAGAGGAUGGAUGGGGCAGAGGGACAGGUUUCUACAGUGGAGGAUGGAUGGAUGGGGCUGAGGGACAGGUUUCUACAGUGGAGGAUGGAUGGGGCAGAGGGACAGGUUUCUACAGUGGAGGAUGGAUGGAUGGGGCUGAGGGACAGGUUUCUACAGUGGAGGAUGGAUGGGGCAGAGGGACAGGUUUCUACAGUGGAGGAUGGAUGGAUGGGGCUGAGGGACAGGUUUCUACAGUGGAGGAUGGAUGGAUGGAUGGGGCAGAGGGACAGGUUUCUACAGGGAGGAUGGAUGGAUGGGGCAGAGGGACAGGUUUCUACAGUGGAGGAUGGAUGGAUGGGGCAGAGGGACAGGUUUCUACAGGGAGGAUGGAUGGAUGGGGCAGAGGGACAGGUUUCUACAGUGGAGGAUGGAUGGAUGGGGCAGAGGGACAGGUUUCUACAGUGGAGGAUGGAUGGAUGGGCAGAGGGACAGGUUUCUACAGUGGAGGAUGGAUGGAUGGGGCUGAGGGACAGGUUUCUACAGUGGAGGAUGGAUGGAUGGAGCAGAGGGACAGGUUUCUACAGUGGAGGAUGGAUGGAUGGGGCUGAGGGACAGGUUUCUACAGUGGAGGAUGGAUGGAUGGAUGGAGCAGAGGGACAGGUUUCUACAGUGGAGGAUGGAUGGAUGGAUGGAGCAGAGGGACAGGUUUCUACAGUGGAGGAUGGAUGGAUGGAGCAGAGGGACAGGUUUCUACAGUGGAGGAUGGAUGGGGCUGAGGGACAGGUUUCUACAGUAGAGGAUGGAUGGGGCUGAGGGACAGGUUUCUACAGUGGAGGAUGGAUGGAUGGGGCUGAGGGACAGGUUUCUACAGUGGAGGAUGGAUGGAUGGAGCAGAGGGACAGGUUUCUACAGUGGAGGAUGGAUGGAUGGGGCUGAGGGACAGGUUUCUACAGUGGAGGAUGGAUGGAUGGGGCUGAGGGACAGGUUUCUACAGUGGAGGAUGGAUGGAUGGGGCUGAGGGACAGGUUUCUACAGUGGAGGAUGGAUGGAUGGAGCAGAGGGACAGGUUUCUACAGUGGAGGAUGGAUGGAUGGAGCAGAGGGACAGGUUUCUACAGUGGAGGAUGGAUGGAUGGAGCAGAGGGACAGGUUUCUACAGUGGAGGAUGGAUGGAUGGGGCAGAGGGACAGGUUUCUACAGUGGAGGAUGGAUGGGGCAGAGGGACAGGUUUCUACAGUGGAGGAUGGAUGGGGCUGAGGGACAGGUUUCUACAGUAGAGGAUGGAUGGAUGGGGCUGAGGGACAGGUUUCUACAGUGGAGGAUGGAUGGGGCUGAGGGACAGGUUUCUACAGUGGAGGAUGGAUGGAUGGGGCAGAGGGACAGGUUUCUACAGUGGAGGAUGGAUGGGCUGAGGGACAGGUUUCUACAGUGGAGGAUGGAUGGGCUG